rnacentral:lncRNA from 1 species
CGUCACGCUCUUUUGUCUCGGUUAGCUGAGGAUAAAAGCUGCCGCGGCUGCCGGGGGGACCGGGCCUGGUUUGGCGGAGAAAAAAGCCCGCCUCGGCUGCCGUGGGAACCGUGCUGUCUCGACUCGGCUACCAGUCUCAGCGCGGCAGUGCAAAGCAGCUUCAUCGGGUGGUCCCGGCUAGCUCAGCGGCUGAGGAGGCGCCCAUCCUUUUCCCCUGUAGGACCGCGGAGACCGAAGGCGGAGACGCAGCUGUCAACGCCAGAGCGUCCGCUGCCCACCAGCCCAACACAGGCCACCAGAACCGAAGCUGAACUUGAAUUCCGUGCGGCUGAUUACAGAGCUGCCCUCUGCGGCGGCGCAGUCUUGACGCCCUAA